rnacentral:misc_RNA from 1 species
CAACCCUCACGGGCCCCCCUUCGCGGGGGGACCUGGUGUUGGGGGCCGGCCGCCCUGCGCGCGCCGCCCCCGAAAUGCAGUGGCGACCUCGCCGCAGCCUCCCCUGCGUAGUAGCACAACCUCGCACCGGAGCGCGGAGACGGUCACGCCGUAAAACGCCCAACUUUCAAGAG